rnacentral:rRNA from 1 species
UGCCAGCCGCCGCGGUAAUACGUAGGGGGCAAGCGUUGUCCGGAUUUACUGGGUGUAAAGGGCGCGCAGGCGGAUUUGUCAGUCAGGGGUGAAAUCCUACAGCUUAACUGUAGAACUGCCUUUGAUACUGCAAAUCUUGAGUACUGGAGAGGAAAGCGGAAUUCCGAGUGUAGGGGUGUAAUCCGUAGAUAUUCGGAGGAACACCAGUGGCGAAGGCGGCUUUCUGGACCGAUACUGACGCUGAGACGCGAAAGCGUGGGGAGCAAACAGGAUUAGAUA